rnacentral:rRNA from 1 species
UAAGUAAGUGGUGGAAAUUAAACCAAAUGGGAUAUCUUUAGUAAUUGCGAAUGAACAAGGAUAUGCUUAGCUUGACAAAUGGAGCUAUUGGCUUUGAAUUGUAUUUGUGGAAUGUAUUACCAACAGAGGUGCAGGUGCCAGCCUAUUAAACAAAGCGUCAAUGAGGGUGAGAAUCCUGUUUGUCAUGUGCAGCCCUUUGUGCACGAUGUAUAUUUGCUGAGUCACACUCCUUGGCAUUGGAAUGCAAAGUGGGUGGUAAGUUUCAUGUACAGGUAAACAUGCAAUUGAGACUGAUAGCACACAAGUACCAUGAGGGAAAUAUGAAAAGGACUUUGAAAAGAGAAUUAAAUGAGUUUGUAUUUGCUGAACACAAAGUAAACAGACUUGAUUUGCUUGGUGGGAGUGUUGCACUUGCUUGACAAGAGCUUUGGGCUGUGGGUGUAAUGAUUCUUUCUUUGCAUGCCAGUUUCUAUGUGUACAUCUGAUUACCUUUGCACAUGAAUGAUAAGUCUCCUGUGGGGGGUGGAUUGCAUGUGCAUGUAAUGAUUUGUGUUUUGAUAAAUGUGUCUGGUGUAUGUGUGUGUGUUCCUGUGCUUGGGGAUGCUUCCUUCCUUGGACUUACAAGCCCUGACACACACAUGCUGGCAAAAUGCUUCUGCUUGACCCG